GGACUACCCGGGUUUCUAAUCCUGUUUGAUCCCCUUGCUUUCGCGCCUCAGCGUCAGGAGUAAGCUAGAAAACCGCCUUCGCCACCGGUGUUCUUCCACAUAUCUACGCAUUUCACCGCUACUUGUGGAAUUCCGUUUUCUCCGCCUACCCUCUAGGUAUGCAGUUUCAAAUGCUGUUCCGAGGUUGAGCCCCGGGAUUUCACAUCUGACUUACAAACCAGCCUACGCGCCCUUUACGCCCAAUAAAUCCGAUUAAUGCUUGCACCCUCCGUAUUACCGCGGCUGCUGGCAC
rnacentral:rRNA from 1 species